UACGAGGGGGCAAGCGUUGUUCGGAAUUAUUGGGCGUAAAGGGUGCGUAGGCGGUCUGACAAGUCUGAUGUGAAAUCUAUGGGCUCAACCCAUAGUCUGCAUCGGAAACUGUCGGGCUGGAGUAUGGGAGAGGUGAGUGGAAUUUCCGGUGUAGCGGUGAAAUGCGUAGAUAUCGGAAGGAACACCUGUGGCGAAAGCGGCUCACUGGACCAUUACUGACGCUGAGGC
rnacentral:rRNA from 1 species